rnacentral:rRNA from 1 species
UAACACGUAUGCAAUCCACCUGUAAGAGGGGGAGUAACCCGGAGAAAUCCGGACUAAUACCCAUAAUAUGGGCGCUCCGCAUGGAGAGUCCAUUAAAGAGAGCAAUCUUGGUUACAGACGAGCAUGCGCUCCAUUAGCCAGUUGGCGGGGUAACGGCCCACCAAGGCGACGAUCAGUAGCCGGACUGAGAGGUUGAACGGCCACAUUGGGACUGAGACACGGCCCAG